GCACAUCCCCUGAAUGCUAAGUGCUUCGCGUUGCAAAUGACGCGGCAGCUCAGCUGCGGCAGAUCACUUUGCUGAAAGGAGUAGAGGAUGAAUCCAUAUUGUGCUCUGACAGAGAAGAAUAUCAAGUAAUCCCAGGAGCAUAGAACACAAUGACUUAGCACUGCAGAGGAAUAUUCCAUGCUGCCUCCAGCAAGCACACUUGCCCAUCGUCAGUCCACCAUCAAUCCCUUGACAUAAUGUCUCCGGAUGUCUCAGAGCUGUUUAGAUGCCCACUGGUGUCCAUUUGAUUGACUGAUGAAUGGCAGCCAAGCUCUCUACUGAACCUGGGUCCUCCUGCCCGUGCAGCACCCGUGACUGGUGGUCUAGUGCUGAGAUUCUAAGGGCCUGUGUAUGUACAAAUACAACAGACUGAAGGGAACACAGUUACCGCCUGGCACAGGAUUAUGAACACUGAGAAUUAGAGUUGUCAAAUCUCUGGGUCCUUAACUCUCCAAUCUUGUUUUUGUUGUCUUCCAACCAUCCCUCAAUCCCAGCAGGAGCCAAGUGCCAGCGCGUCUGACAUACAAAGGAAAAGUUUCUCAUUGUUUCUCAAGCAGAAACAAAGAGUCUUGGAUUGUGGGGGAAAGAAUAAAAUAAUUUAAAGGAAAUAGUCCAAAAUAAAAGGAAAGAGACCAGUUGCUCUGAGAGGGCUGAUAAAAAAGCCCAGAACAAUGGAAGAAAUAGCCAGAGAGAUUAACAAGGGGGAGGAGGGGAGAGACAAUACAGCAGCAGGAGGUAAUGAUGGAAGGUACAAGAGGGAGGCAGAAUGGGGGAGGGGAGUUUCCUACCUAAACCAGGGUGGUUUUUGGCUUGCUCAACCACUUCCCUUUACAAGAAUCCAACCCGCUUCUCUCUUCUCACUUUGAGCACCUGCUAAUCGCAAAAUAAAGGAACCACACCAAUGCCUCAAGCCAAACUGAAAACAGCCGGGGUCCAGUCCUGCAGCCCUUACGUGACUAACCCCAUGCACGCAAUAAGUUACAGGAUCAGGUCCUGUAUUGCUGACAUAUUCCUAAAUGUGAGAGGGGUGUUAUAGGAAAGAGUCCCAGUCAUUUAACGCUGUAACCAUGGGCUUUGUCAGAUGGGUGGGCUGGGGAAUGGGGCAGUCAGGCUCCCUCCUGUCCCCCUCACUUUUCUCUUGUGCUUCCAUACUGAAAGUAGGAGAAGAUGUCCUGUGACUGGUUUCCCCCCUUCUUGGGCAGGGGAAGUCCUUCUUUUCCUCUUCCAUUGUGUUCUGUGGACGUGAAUAAGGAAGGAUUAGUUGGAGAGGGUGAGUUCUCUUGCCUGGUCUCCGAAUUUCCCAGCUUCACACCCACUGACUGGUUCAAUCAGGGGGAGUAAAUGUUAAAGGGGAAGUCUUUCCAAGGUCCACUCUCUACAGCUGAGAUUCCCUGAGGGGGAGGAAGAGUGGUCCAUGGCUAAAGCCCAGGCCUGGGAGGCAGGAAAUGUGGGUUCUGAUCACGCUGAGCCUUAGACUUCCUGUGCCUGAGACUUCACCUCUCUGUUAGAUUCCCCACCUGCAAAAUGGUGAUAAUAGUUACCUACCCCUCAGGGUUGGGGGUGAGGCUGUUCUUUGAGACUGCAGGGUAGAAGGUGCUAUGGGAAUACAAAGCAUGCCUACAUUCAAGCUACUAGAGGUAGCAGGGGCAUAUAGGCUCUACCCACCCAUCAGAGACUUUCAUCAUCAUUGGUACCAUCUGAUUGGCUGUUUUGUCUCAUUAUGAGACUGACUGUUUGGGGGGAUGUCGGGGUGGAUGGAGAAAUCUGGGGCAUGUGGAGAGAUUACAAGAGGCAGGGGAAAGGGGUACUAUAAAAAAUAAUAAUAGUAUGUACCUAACG